CCACAGCACUGAGUCCCCCACACGUAAGGACCUGUGCGCAAGGACGUUUACUGCAGCAUUUUCCAGAACGGUAAACACAAAGAAAAAGACAAAAAUCAAACAAAAAGCAGAGAAGAACAGAAGAGGAGAAAGAAGAAACAAACUAUUUCCAGUCACUAAAGAAUAAAAGAAUCAUAACUACACCAAGAGGUACUGUCCUCAGUCAUGUCAGACUCUUGGCAACCCCAUGGACUGUAACCCGCCAGGCUCCACUGUCCAUGGGACUUUCCAGGCGAGAAUACCGGAGUGGCUUGCUGUGUGUGACCUGAGAACAAUUUUUCCGCCUCUAGUCGAAGUGUGCAGACGCAGACAGCUGUAGGAGAGAGCGCCAUCCGUGCUCAUCUUUACAGACCUUCACUAGCAGAACCCAAGUUGUGACCAGCCCCUGGGCUACUAACAGGUGUGUGUCCCUGCAGACACCCUUAGUGGCCAGAGUACAAAAUAUUUUCAAGGUCUUCAGUGGUAACAAGAAGAACACAAGAAGUUACUAUUAGCGUUACAUUAAAAGGUGUCUUUUUCUGCAUGUUCCUCUUUUCCUUAGCCUGUAGGUUCUUUCCCCUCUUUUGCUUUCCUUUUCUAUUUUUGCUCCUUUUUCGUUUCUUAACCUUCUUUCUUUCUCUUUCAACGGCCGCUUUUAAAACAUUUCUCUGUAUUGCAUUUUUAUGAAGUGGAAUCAUAUAAUUCAGCGUAUAAUUCAGAAAGUAGAUGCGUAACUACCUCUUGCAUAACUUCCUCCAGGAAAACAAUGAUGCUGCUGUAUACAGGGCCCUGCUGUGCCUGCUGUGUGAAAACACCCACAUCUCCUCACAACCCUCCCGCAGUUUGCUUCCUAAGCGUCAGACACACUUGGGACGUGGAGGGAAUUUUGGUUAUGUUGAUGGCCUUCAGCAUCGCUGAAUUUCUCAUUUCCCUGUCUUUCUCCAUCAUGAGGGGACCCACUGAGUGUGGUGACUGUGAGGAAUGGGACGGAGCAGAGCUGUGAGAAUAAAGGCCUGGUAUAAAAUGUGACUGGGAGGCGAAUUGUGCUUGUGAGGAAAAGCCAGCAGGAACACAGACUCUCAAGGCCGGUAAUUCCUUGAAGCAAAGGGGAGUGACUCAAAGGAGUUGCUUGGUGGGGGGCUGGGGGCGGGGCGGGCAGGGGAUGGGGACUGGGAACAUUUUGGCUGA
rnacentral:lncRNA from 1 species